UACGUAGGGUGCAAGCGUUAAUCGGAAUUACUGGGCGUAAAGCGUGCGCAGGCGGUUCGUUAAGUUCGUUGUGAAAGCCCCGGGCUCAACCUGGGAACUGCAAUGGAAACUGGCGGGCUUGAGUGCGGCAGAGGGGGGUGGAAUUCCGCGUGUAGCAGUGAAAUGCGUAGAGAUGCGGAGGAACACCGAUGGCGAAGGCAGCCCCCUGGGCCGACACUGACGCUCAGGCACGAAAGCGUGGGGAGCAAACAGG
rnacentral:rRNA from 1 species